GACGAACGCUGGCGGCGUGCUUAACACAUGCAAGUCGAACGGUGAACCUGCUUCGGUGGGGGAUCAGUGGCGCACGGGUGAGUAACACGUGGGCAACCUGCCCUCAGCUCUGGGAUAACUCCAAGAAAUUGGGGCUAAUACUGGAUAUGACCGCUGACCGCAUGGUCUGGUGGUGGAAAGAUUUAUCGGCUGGGGAUGGUCCCGCGGCCUAUCAGCUUGUUGGUGGGGUAGUGGCCUACCAAGGCGACGACGGGUAGCCGGCCUGAGAGGGUGACCGGCCACACUGGGACUGAGACACGGCCCAGACUCCUACGGGAGGCAGCAGUGGGGAAUAUUGCGCAAUGGGCGAAAGCCUGACGCAGCGACGCCGCGUGGGGGAUGACGGCCUUCGGGUUGUAAACCUCUUUCAGCAGGGACGAAGCGAAAGUGACGGUACCUGCAGAAGAAGCACCGGCCAACUACGUG
rnacentral:rRNA from 1 species